rnacentral:rRNA from 1 species
UACGGAGGGUGCAAGCGUUAUCCGGAUUCACUGGGUUUAAAGGGUGCGUAGGUGGGCAGGUAAGUCAGUGGUGAAGUCUCCGGGCUUAACUCGGAAACUGCCAUUGAUACUAUCUUUCUUGAAUACCGUGGAGGUCAGCGGAAUAUGUCAUGUAGCGGUGAAAUGCUUAGAUAUGACAUAGAACACCAAUUGCGAAGGCAGCUGGCUACACGAAUAUUGACACUGAUGCACGAAAGCGUGGGGAUCAAACAGG